UCGCCUCUUGAGCCCUAUAAGAGGUCUAGCCUGCCCAGUGACUUAGUUUAACGGCCGCGGUAUCCUAACCGUGCGAAGGUAGCGUAAUCACUUGUUCUUUAAAUGAGGACUAGUAUGAAUGGCAUCACGAGGGUUCCACUGUCUCCUUUUUCCAAUCAAUGAAACUGAUCUUCCCGUGAAGAAGCGGGAAUCUUAAUAUUAGACGAGAAGACCCUAUGGAGCUUCAAACUAAAUAGCACUGGCUUUUCCCCUAUAUACCUCAAGGGGUAUUAACCCUUAUUCUAGCCUUUUAACUAUUAGUUUUAGGUUGGGGUGACCGCGGAGCAAAAAUUAACCUCCACAAUGAAUAGCACUAUUCUUGAGCCAAAAGCCACAACUUUAAGCACUAACAAACUAACAUAAAUUGACCCAAUAUUUUGAACAACGAACCAAGUUACCCUAGGGAUAACAGCGCAAUCCUCUUCAAGAGCCCUUAUCGACAAGUGGGUUUACGACCUCGAUGUUGGAUCAGGAUAUCCCAGUGGUGCAGCCGCUACUAAAGGUUCGUUUGUUCAACGAU
rnacentral:rRNA from 1 species